rnacentral:lncRNA from 1 species
AGAGAAGCCUGAGCUGGAGGAAAACACAGUCGUGCAAUGUUUUAGGACCCCAGACCUGCAAGGGAGAAGCUGAAGCUCUGGAGAUAAGAAGGCCAAAAUGAGUCCUAUGGAGUAUUUGCACAGCCAGUUUCUUCUGGAAGCUUCAAGAGAGAGUCUGUUCCUUGCCUUUUCCAGCUUCUAGAGGCAGCCGACACUCCUUGGCUCAUGGCCACAUAACUCUGACCUGUGUCUAUUGUCACAUCACUGACUCUUCUGACCUCCUACCAGGACCCUUGUGAUUACAUUGGGCCUGCUUGGAUAACCCAGGAUAGCUUCUCCAUCUUAAGGUUGUUAAUCACAUCUGCAGAAUGCCUGUUGCCAUAUAAGUUAACAUAUUCACAGGUUCUAGGAAGAAGGACAUGGACAUCUUCCAGGAAGCAUUAUUCUGUCUACCACAGCAGUUCUUUCAACUGUAUGUUUCCCAGACCAUUCAUCCUUCCCUGCACAAAGUCAAGUUCAUCAACGUUCUUACUGAAAUGUGAUGUUGUUUAUCACGAAUAUAUAUAAAGCAAAGACUCUCUAAUCCUGUACUUUGCAUCUGGCAUUUCAAAAUGAAGUCUAAAAGUGUACAAUUUCUACUCCUAUGCAAGUUUCCUCUUCUUAGAUUUGACCUCCUAUUCUGGACUAUGAAGGUAUGUAAAAGUCUCUUUUUUUGUGAUCCAACCUAUUAUUUAGCUGAAUGGACUAUUAAGAGCACUGUGCUAGUGUGAGAAAUGCUUCUGGUCUUUACUUUUACCAUUCAUUAGCUCCUGUACAAGAGGAGAUGUAUAAUAUUGUUCAAUCACUGGAAAUCUAUUAGGAUUAUGGAAUUAAAGUCUUUAGCAAACUUAAGUAUCAUGCUAAUUUUAGUUUAUGCAUACCAAAUGUUAGCAACUAUCAACAAUGCACUUCAGUUUUAUUGAGUGACCUCCAAUGAUACAAGAACAUAGAAGUGGUCCAAGAACAUUCAGACCACCCACAUGUAGGAAUGAAGGAAAGGACUUGCAUGUUAAGAUCCAUUUUGAGCCUCCACGGAUGAGCCUCACAACUCACUGGUCAGCCUUGAAGUAUGUUUUGGGAGAUGUCACUUAGCAUCUACUUCAAUCUAUUCAUUUGCAUGUUUUGAAUCUGCUUGACUUGUCAUGGAGUCCACGUUUUUUAUUUCAUUCAAAAUGGUAUCAUAAGACUCUCCUUGCUUCCUUCCACUUCUCUAAGUGGAAAGGGUUGUUCUUAGUUCGUGUAUGUAUCUGAAAGGCAACUGGAAUUGUUGAAGAGAAAGAGAAGACCUAACCUGGGCACCCUAGGAACCUACUGACAUCUAUAACACCACUGUGUGCUCCCUGCCUGUCCGUCUUAGUAGAUCCGAUGAAUGCCCUAAAUUCUGAAUAUUUACUAUCUCAACCACUAUCUCUAAAAAAUUAUGGUAAUGACUUACACAAUAGACAUUAUUCCAUAAAUGUUCUAAUGAUGCCAAGUAUCUGAACAGAUUGUACAACAGCAGAUUUCUGCUGCAGUCAAUCAACUUACCUAUCUGUCUACAUGUAUCUAUGCCACCAUUUCUCCAUAAAUCACAGUCUAGUCCAUGUUACUUCCUAAAUGAGCAUUGCCUCAACAUAAGCCUUGGUUAGAAUGCUUUUCAUUGUUGGUCUUGGAGGUAUAUAGGUGAACCACUUAUCCUGAGCCUACAGAUUCAUUUAAUGACAUUCGCUCGUUGUAUAGAUUUAAAUAGGCUUGGAAAUCUCAGGAAAAUUAGCAGCCUCUAUAAGCUAAGGUGGAUUUUACUGUCCAGAGAACACAUCUAAAUAUGGCAAGGGCUAGACUAUGUGUGUGUGUGUGUGUGUAUGUGUGUGUGUGUAUGUUUUGCACAUGUGUGUACAGAAAAAGAUAUACAUAAAAUAUUUCAUACAUAUAUAAAAUAUUUCAAAGUCCAGACUAUUUUGUUUAGACUUCCUUAUUUCAGAAGAGGAAAUUGAUACAAAGGAAAGCAAAGAAGACAGAUUUUUCUUGGCCCCUUCACCGCUGAUGAUAAAAUUCCAUAAGGAAGGAGGGUGUCAAGGGUUCCCACUGCCCUCUUUUGCUUCCUUGCUCUUCCCUUGAAAUAAAUCUCAACAUACCACCGUGAUCUUUGCAAUUAAAUUACUUUACCCAAAGCAGAUGUUCGCUAGGAGCAUUUUCCUUCUGCAGCAUGGAGAGUCAUAGUUUCUCUGCUCAUUUGUCUUGUUAACUCAUAUCUGAGAGAACACAUGGAAGUGGCAUGGUCAGAAAGAAAUUGGAUACACAGAGAGAAAGUUUAAUUUUUGCUUGUAAUACUAUGCUAAAUUAUUAAACUGAAAGUCAUAUAAAAUAGCUAAAAGACUAAAAAAGACAUAAAUCAGCCACCACCUAUGUAUUUUAUUUCAUUACUUUUUUUUGUUCUAGUAUUUUUCCCAGUUUGAAUAUUGAAACAAAAUUAAUUGGUUUCACUUUUAAAGCAAUGUUAUUAUAGACAUGUAUUUAACAUUCUGAAAAAAUAUUUUAUAUAUCAAAAUAUGUAUUUUUAAGGCAGCUCUUAAUUUAAUCCAGGCAGCGAAAUCUACUUUCCUGUACAGCUUAAUGGUUUUAGUCCAUUUUAACUUUCAUUAAAAUUCUCAGAAAUCUUUCUAUUAGGUUUUAAAAAUGUUUUUCUUUUUAGAUUUUAAGGAGCCAAAUUGUGACCUAAAAUAUAAUAAUAUUUUAAAUUAAA